CAUGAAUGCAGAUAUCCUGAACAACUUCCCUUUUAUUUGUGCAAGUAGACUAAGUAAGUAAUUGUUUUUUUGUGUUUCUCCAUAGCACCUGGUAAGCCUGGAAACGUUCAGCUGGAACGUAUUUCAUCAACAGAACUCGAUCUAACUUGGACUUCACCAUCUGACCCUAACGGGGUUAUUAUCGGAUACAGGAUUGUCUGGAGCAUUCUGAGAGAUGACAAGAAUAUGUCUGUUUCUAACAGUGUUUCAAAGACUGAAAUCAUAAAUAAUGGAAGUACAGUAUCGUUUGGGAUAGACAAAUUAGGUAAGCAUGGUGGUACAGGUGACUUUGCAAUACUUUUUUAUAUCAUCUUGUAAAUGCCGUUGGUACAAGCAAAAUUAUUAAAGAAACCCUAAGAUUGACGUUUACAG